CCCGCUGAACUUAAGCAUAUCAAUAAGCGGAGGAAAAGAAACCAACAGGGAUUGCCUCAGUAACGGCGAGUGAAGCGGCAACAGCUCAAAUUUGAAAUCUGGCUCUUUCAGGGUCCGAGUUGUAAUUUGUAGAAGAUGCUUCGAGUGUGGCUCCGGUCUAAGUUCCUUGGAACAGGACGUCAUAGAGGGUGAGAAUCCCGUAUGUGACUGGCUGCCUUCGCUCAUGUGAAGCUCUUUCGACGAGUCGAGUUGUUUGGGAAUGCAGCUCAAAAUGGGUGGUAAAUUUCAUCUAAAGCUAAAUAUUGGCCAGAGACCGAUAGCGCACAAGUAGAGUGAUCGAAGGAUGAAAAGCACUUUGGAAAGAGAGUUAAACAGUACGUGAAAUUGCUGAAAGGGAAACGCUUGAAGUCAGUCGCGUUGGCCAGGGAUCAACCUUGCUUUUGCUUGGCUUACUUUCUGGUCGAUGGGUCAGCAUCAAUUUUGACUGGUGGAAAAAGUUCAAGGGAAUGUGGCAUCUUCGGAUGUGUUAUAGCCUUUGUUCACAUACAUUGGUUGGGAUUGAGGAACUCAGCACGCCGCAAGGCCGGGUUUUUAACCACGUACGUGCUUAGGAUGCUGGCAUAAUGGCUUUAAUCGACCCGUCUUGAAACACGG
rnacentral:rRNA from 1 species